rnacentral:rRNA from 1 species
ACGAACGCUGGCGGCGUGCCUCAUCCAUGCAAGUAGCACGCUGAAGGAGGAGCUUGCUUCUCUGGAUGAGUUGCGAACGGGUGAGUAACGCGUAGGUAACCUGCCUGGUAGCGGGGGAUAACUAUUGGAAACGAUAGCUAAUACCGCAUAAUAGUAGAUGUUGCAUGACAUUUGCUUAAAAGGUGCAAUUGCAUCACUACCAGAUGGACCUGCGUUGUAUUAGCUAGUUGGUGAGGUAACGGCUCACCAAGGCAACGAUACAUAGCCGACCUGAGAGGGUGAUCGGCCACACUGGGACUGAGACACGGCCCAGACUCCUACGGGAGGCAGCAGUAGGGAAUCUUCGGCAAUGGACGGAAGUCUGACCGAGCAACGCCGCGUGAGUGAAGAAGGGUUUCGGAUCGUAAAGCUCUGUUGUAAGAGAAGAACGAGUGUGAGAGUGGAAAGUUCACACUGUGACGGUAUCUUACCAGAAAGGGACGGCUAACUACGUG